rnacentral:lncRNA from 1 species
CUGUAUGUAUACCUACCAUAGGCAUUUACCAAAUCCACUAUCACUAGUCAGUCACUACACAGGAAAAAGGAAAUACAAACAAAAAUAGUGGUCAACACCAACCUACUAAUUUUAUGUUCUGCUAAUUUCACGGUGACGAAUCUGCAAAUGAAGGACACCAAGCAUAUUAUAUGCAGUUAGUGUUGGUAACUACUUUUUGAAAAAACAAGUGAUAUUCAAAUAGUAGAUAAAUUAUACUUCAUACUUUGAAUUAGUAAAAAUCUAUUCAAGAAGGCACCAAAAAGGAGGUGGUGCCAUGUACACAUAGUAUACUGAAAAGAAAGAAAAUAAAAAGUCUUGCCGAAAUAACUAGCCCAAAUUUUGCACUAGACAUAGGCAUGUUCGUACACACUUACAUUUUAUCAAGGAGUGGGCCCAAUGUUGAAUCUUUACAGUCCUCCAGGCACUGGUUCCUCUAGAACAUCAAGCAAAUUGGGGACAUCAAGCAAAUUGGGGUUUGUAAUCUGCUUUACACUGUGCCUCCGUACCUCUUCAGCUAUCAUGAAACUGAACCCAACAGCCUCCACAGACUCAGACGCUCCCUGCAGAAAAACCUAUUAAUUACAACCACACUACAUCCUACAGAACCUCAAAUUACAUACAAAGAAAAUAAAACAAUCACUACAAGAGCAAACCAAUAAGCAAAUCCUAAUCUUCCGCGUGUAGUGACACACAUGAUGCUAGCAUAUAUAUAAAUUAGUAAAACUUCUAAUCAUAUAUGACAGAGAAUAGACCAUCUACUUUAUUUCUUCUCUGCAAAACAUCAACACAUACAAAUUCCACCUCAACAGUCAUACAACACAAAAAACCUAAAACUACCAUUUAAAUCCCACUAGUUAGUCCAAAAUUGGUAUUCCCAUUCCACCAGCUGCAUUGAGAUCAUGUUACAGGAGUACAAUUUUGGCAGUCUGGUGGCACAUUCUCCAUUAACAGAAAAUUUUGUUACAUUUCAAUUCCAAGUAAGAAAGAGACCAGUUGAAUUAAAACAAACAAUAAAAACACACCAAUUUUCAACAAUAAACCCAGAAAUUAAAAUGUCACAAACAGAAAUAGUAAGAAAAAUUAGUAAAAAUUAAAAACAAACAUCAAACGGUCAAGCUGCAAGAAAAUAAACAGAAAAACAAACCUCAAGAUAACCAAUUUCUCUCUCCAACAUCUGGGUACUCUGGCGGCGAUUUAGGACGCGGUGGUGGCAGUGAUGGCACUUUAGAAGUUCCCCUUUUGGCAGCAUACAUAAAAAUAUAAGAAAAGGAGGAGCCGAGGAGGACUCACGGUCGCCCGUCGUCACCGACUUCCGAUUCAGAGUUCGAGUCUUCGAGAUCUGAGAUGAGACGAGAGUAACAGAGUUUGGGAUGAUUCUUGUCACUUGAGAUCUGAGAUGAGAUAUGGGUUUGGGAUGAUUCUUGUCACUUGAGAGUUGAGAGGUACAGAUGAGUUGAGAGGUUCAGAUUGAGAGAAUGAGAGUUUGAGACUUGAGAUGAGACGAGAGUAACAGAGUUGUUCGACUUCAGAGUCGGUCAUUCCGCUAGGGCUAGUAGUACUUUAUUUAAUUUCAACUUUUCACAUCCGCGCCAUUCAUUUAAA